rnacentral:rRNA from 1 species
GACGAACGCUGGCGGCAUGCCUAAUACAUGCAAGUCGAACGCUGAAGCACUCUGCUUGCAGAGUGCGGAUGAGUGGCGAACGGGUGAGUAACACGUGGGAAAUCUGCCUAUAAGUGGGGGAUAACAUUCGGAAACGGAUGCUAAUACCGCAUACAUUCUUGAACCGCAUGGUUCUUGAAAGAAAGACGGCUUUGCUGUCGCUUAUAGAUGAUCCCGCGGCGUAUUAGUUAGUUGGUGGGGUAAAGGCCUACCAAGACAAUGAUACGUAGCCGACCUGAGAGGGUGAUCGGCCACACUGGGACUGAGACACGGCCCAG